rnacentral:lncRNA from 10 species
UACCAUUUAAGUACAAGAUGUCCUUGACUCUUCAUCAACUGCUACAUUAAUAAUGAACAUAACCCUGGGAAAUUUGGGGAUUUCAUAUGGUGCGAAGAGAGGUCACUUUGAGGUAUUCAGCUGGUGGAUGGCUUCUCUUACAUGUCCCCUUGGCAGGGAUCACUAGAAGUCUGGCUCAGCUGGGGCUAUUCACCAUGGUGGCUACAUAAUGGCUUCUCCAGUAUGGUGAUUUCAGGUUAGUUGAAUUUUUACAUUAUAGCUCAAGACUAGCAAACAUAGUGUUUGAAGAAGCUUGAGUGGAAGCUUCAAGACUUAUGACCAAGAUUAGAAGUCCUGGAAUGUCACUUCUACCAUUUUCUACUGCUCAAGAAAGUCACUAAGACCAGCCCAAAUCCAAGGAGAGAGGAAUUAGAUUUCAACUCUCAACAGGAGAAGUACCAUACUAAAGACUAUAUGACCAUCUUUGGCCUGAAGUUUCUCACUCAUUAACCUGGAGCAACAAAAUGGAAAGAAUUCUGAUGACAAAGUAGAGAACCUGUCCCUUUGCUGGCUCUGAGGAUGACUGACUGUUGUGUGGGUGAGGUCUGCAGACAGAAGCCAGCUCUGCUCUCUCCAUUGGUAAACAUGGGUGGGAGCAUGGGAAACUCCAAGAGGCCAACCCUUGUGAGUGUUAGUGAAAAACAGCAAAGUGUUAGGAAGAAAAGUGAGUCCUAACUCAGAACUGCAAAUGCCCACCAAUAUUGGUUGCUCCCUGCCUUAUUAGACAUUUUCAUUUGUAGCACCUUUAAAAGAUAUGAUUUCCUAAUGUCAUGGCACUUUAUUUUCUGGGUCAUGUUGGCUUCGUGGUUAAGCAGGUGCAAACAUUGAAUUGGCCAGGUGAGCUGCCAGGAUGACUGAAACACAGGGGGUUUGGAUCAUCUGGACAACAGGACUGAGUGGAAAUUAAUGGGCGAGGGUUUCAGAGAUGAGACUUUGAAUCCAAGCUUUGCAUUUUACUGUAAGAGUUUGGGCAAGUUGUUUAACCUCCGAAAGGCUUUGUUUUCUUCAUUUGCAAUAUCCC